ensembl:lncRNA
CGGCACGGUGGCGUGGUGGUUAGCACUGUUGCCUCACAGCAAGAAGCCCAGUGGCCUUUCUGUGUGGAGUCUGCAUGUUCUCCCCCGUGUCUGCGUGGGUUCUCUCCGGGUUCUCCGGCUUCCUCCCACAGUCCAAAGACAUGCUCUGGGGAUCAGGUCAAUUGGGGACUUUAAAUUGCCCGUAGAUGUGUGAAUGUGAGUGUGAAUGGUUGUCUGUCUCUGUGUGGCCCUGCGAUUGGCUGGCGACCAGUCCAGGAUGUACCCUGUCUAUCGCCCGAAGUUGGCUGGGAUGGACUCCAGCCCCCCCGCGACCCUGUGUGCAGGAUAAGCGGUUUGACGAUGGAUGGAUGGUUUUUUAAAUAUAAUAUAUAAAGAAAAUAUAUUUAAUAUAAAAAAAAGAAAAUUAAAGUUUCUCCCCACAAGCACAAAUGACUAACCUUAUCGAUGGCAAGCAGCUGUGAUACAUUUUCUAGUAUUUUGGAGUGCUUCCCCCCCAACCGUUAGCCUUCUGGCCCGUCCAGCCCAGAGAAUAGAGGUCAACCUCAUGUGGUAUUGGCAAGCAGAGACCAACCUCAAGUUUGCUAACCGGACAGAACGAUCCAGGAAGGGUACAAACAUGACAGCCCCCACCAUAUAGUUAUUAAAAGCUUUAUGGUCCCAAAAAAAUUCUGAAUCAUUUGACUUUUUAUGUGUUUUCCUUUCUUCUUAGAGGUUUCUCAAUUUAUAAUGAGGACUUGUGUUGAGUUGGUGGGUGUCUUCUGACAAUGGAUCAAGCAAGAAAAUGGGGAACUUUUUCUGGACUAUUGGCUUCUGUGGAGGCGCCAUAGUCCGGUCCGGAGGCUGCACUCCGCUCCCGAACAUUGUGGACGAGAUGGCAAUGGACGAGUUGGUGAGUUGUUUUUUAAUAAUCAUUUUUUCCAUAUGAAAUGGCUUUGUCCAUUGUUACAGUGUCCAAAGGGGGCAGGCCCGCAGAUAUGAGAUCUGAGGAUGAUCAUGUUCUACCGCAUCAAGUUGAUGGUGUUAUUGAUGACCUAGGUCAAUAUUUUAUGAUUAGGAGAUGAGGGCUUUCUAAAGGAGGUAAGUUUGUUUACUUGUCUGAACAUUCCCACUGGGAAGGUUUGUGAUUGUGGAGAUUCACAAAUAAUCUCUGCAUGGUGGAGUUAAAAUACUUUUUCUCCAAAUUAUUUUCAUUAAUAGGGCCAGUUGUCGAGCGUCCCUUCCCUCAUGGAUGACUUCCGGUGGCCGGAGGAUGAGCCAUUGGAUUUUCUAGACAUAGUUGGAUUUCAACCCAGGUAGAGAGAGAGAGAGGUAAGUACAUAGGACAGGUCAGUAAAAUAAAUCAUUUUAGGGUUAGGGAUUGGAACCGGUAUUAGAAAGAAAAAAAAACGAUACCCAUCCCUCUUCCAAAUGUGAAUGGUUGUUUUAAGGCAGUUCCUCUGAAUACUGGCUGCUGGUUGUGUGCAUUUGGAUUGAGUGUUUUGAUGGAAGUCUCACUGUGAUAUGGGAUCUAGCGGGCGAGCAGCCUGCAAAUCAUGCAGGCUGAGGUGAAAGGAAGAGGAGAGCACAGUUAACAAAGGAUUGGACGAGGACUUCAAGAUUAAAAGCGUAAACAUUCUAUGAGUUAGUCUGAGUCCAAAAACUAAGACGGUUUGAACUGUCAUCUCCUUUUUAUUACUCCGCUCUGUCAGUGAAGAGCUACCGUCAAAAUGAGAAGUGAAUUGGCUGCCGACAGCUGCUGGUUUCCUAUUUUUAUGUCUCCACACAUACAACAGCAUUGGCCGAAGCAUUUCAUUUUAUUUUUCACAGAAACACUUGGGAGGGAAUGUCUUCCAAAUUGGCACAUUACAACUGAUGAAUUUGGUGGUCAACUGUGACCAGACAAAAAUAUUUAUGGCAAUGACUCUGUAUUUAAUUUGCUAACUAUUUACACAAAGCUGUUGAAUAGGAAGGAUAAAAUUAAGCAAUGACAUUUUUGUACGGACAUUUUAAAUUGCAAUUUGACCGGUCCAUGGAGGUGUCACAGGGUGAAUUGGUGGGUAGGCAGACCCAGCUGUUGCUUAACAGAGCAGGAAAGGGAUAGAUUGAUUCCCCCUUUGAAUGGCCCUGUGUUUGGUGUGCAUCGAAGGGAAGGGAGUUGGGUACAGAUCGGCACUCUGUCCAACCAACUACAUUUAUCCCUUGCUACCUGCCAAGUGAGAAAAUAGAAAGGUUAUGCCUAUGUGUCACAGUGUGGGUUAAUUUCCUGUCUUAUUUUGUAGUUUUCUGCUUCUUGUCUCCCUGGGUAACUUCAUUUCCUGACUUGUCCUGUGGUUGUCUGAUAGUUUCCACCUGUCUCCAAUCACCUGCACCUCCCUAGUGUAUUUAAGCAGUGUGUGUCUCUUGUCAUUUGUCGUGUCAUUGUCUAUUGUCCCGGAUGUUCCUUGUUGUUUGUCCUGGAUUUUUCUUGGUCCCUGCCUGUAUUUUUGCCCCGGUUCCUGUGUGCGUUUUUGCCCCUUGGCCUUUGCUUUUGCCUUUUGACUAUUAAAGUCUUUUUGUUUUCUAAAAAGUCUGCGUUUGAGUCCUGCCUCCAACGCAUCCUGUGACACCUAUGUGUAGCCUGUUCCGUCCUGUCGGUGUGUGUGGCGGUUGGUUGGAACCAGGAGAGCGGCGGCUGUAGUUCUGGUUUGUGAUCCGGACAAGGGGGCAGAUCACAAGUCUAUACUCUGCGCAUAUGUAUUUAAAAGCUCCAACCAGUUUCUCUGCUGCACGGUCCACAGGAAACUUCCACUGAACCCCCCCCACACCCUUUUGGUUUUUAUUCUUGUCAUUUGUAUCAUUACCAUUAUACUACUGCGCUUUUUUUUUUUUUUCUCCAAUAUAUCUUAUGUGCACUGUCCACUUUGCUGCCGCGAUCAUGUGAAUUUUCCUAUUGUGGGACUAAUAAAGGAACAUCUUUUCUGACUCCUUAGUAGAAUGUUUCUCAGUUUGACUUUAAUUGUGCUAAAAUAUAACCAUGAGAGUCUUUACCGGGAGUUAUUUAUUGGCGUCAACAUUACACUUACAGAAGGCAUUAGAGGGUCACAGAGAUAUGAUAAGCUCUCCACCAUGAUAAGUUUUGUGAUCAUUUGUUUUGUGAGGUGGCUGAACGAUACUGAGGAUACAUGUUAGUAGAGUGAAGAUACUGCAAUGACUACAUGUCCCAUGUAGCCCUGGGAGUACUGGCGGAUCUUUCAAAAUAGUGAAUAGUCAAGUGUCAAGAGAAAACAGAUUUAACUUAUCCACUCAUUUUUGUCCGAAAACCUUUGGAAUAGUUUGUUCACAAACAACAAACCUGUCCCACCCACCCCACCUACUGGUACACAACCUUAGGAGCAGUAAAAAAGUGUCAUCGCAUUUUGCCGUGCCAGGCGUCAUUGUAUAUACUGUAUUUUACCCCAGUGUACCACUCAUACAGGACAAUAGACUACUUCUUCAUUGACUGAAACCCUUUUCCCUUUGUCACGAAAGCCAAAUAUUCCACUAUAAUUGAAUCGGAUCAAGCCCCAGUGUUAUUAGAUCUUACAUUGGCUUUGAAUCAUUUGGAAAGCCCUCCUUUGGAAACUAGACAAAACCUUACUGGCUGACUCUUGUUUUUGCAAAUUGAUAAACAAAUAAAUUAAUGACUUUAGAAUCUAAUAAAAAAUAUAAUCUCUCCCCUUCCCUGCUUUGGGAAACACUGAAGGCCAUGAUCGGGGGCGUGUGUGAGUGAGUGGGGAUCAUGGUCGUCCUCCAAUCAAAGGGUUGUUGGUUCGAUCCCACGCCCCGCUAUCCCGCAUGUCGAUGUGUCCUUGAGCAAGACACUUAACCCAACAGUGCUUCUGUAGCUGCGACUACAGUGUGUGAAUGUUAGUUACUGACACAGCCAGGACUCGAACCACCAACCUUGCGGUUCCCAGCGCACUACUACCCCUGCGACACGACAACCCCCCAAAUACAUAAUAUUCAUUACCAACCAAUGAUAUGCGAAGAAAUGAACAAAACCAGCUUAUUAAAUCAAUAAACACAGUGGGUGCUGAAUACUCUACCUCAUAAUCUCCUGAAUUCUAUAAAAGGAAGCUUGACUUGAAAACUCAAUACAACUUAAUAUCAACUGGAAAAAUGCUGUUAAUAUCGUAUGGAUAUGUCUAUGGGGAUUGAUAAAACCCUUCUCGCCUUCAACCACACCAUUGGUAGAAUGCUGCUUCAGCAUUAAAAUGUUCAGCUCCUUUCCAGCUUUAACUUUUCAGCUUUCUAGGUCUAAUUAAAUGUGUAUAAAUUGAAAUCAUAGAAUUUAAAUUAAUUGAAAUCAUACACUUUUAAACAUGGUUUUCCAAUGGAGUUUAUUUUCAAAUCCUCUCAAACUUCUUAAACUUCAAGAUUUUUCUGCCUUGCCAAUCUUUCAGCUACAGACACCAUUUAAACUAUUUUAUAAAAAAAAAGGCUUAUCGGUUACUGUAAAAAGCAUAUCUAUUUUACUUUUUUCAUAAUCACUGAUUAUGUUUCAUUAGUUUUUGGGUCCGUUUCUGAGUUUUACCUUUGUGUGUAUUGCGUUUGUUAGAGUGAGGGCUGAAGAUCUCGAGUGUAGAGCGGUGUCAGAAUCUGGUUAAAAAAAUGGAACUUCUGCCCUCACAGCCACAAUAUACACUUUUGAGGCUUCAUUGUUGGACAAAAUGAUUAUAUGCUUUUGCUGGUUGCAUUAUGUGGCUAUGGAAUCCCACAGUUCUUUACUUUUCGCCUGAGGAGCCCGAGAGUGAGACAACCUCUGCCAAAAGCCCCAUUGGCUCCAAUAUAAAUCUGCCGUAUUUAAAAAAAAACAAAAAAACAGAAGGUACAGGUUUUGGAAACUGCCAGUAGAGCCGUAUUUAUUACCGGGCAGACAUAUAAACCACAUGGUCGUGUUCGGUAGACUCUUGGGUCUCUCAAAAUCAUCUUAUUUUUUUGAUAGCCAUUAUAGUUUUGUGCUAGGGGACACUUGUUUGAGGUGUGGAUUCUGUGUAAAUCACUGUCCUCAAUUCCUUCCCCCCUGCCCCCCCUUUCUAACUGUUUACCCCCAUCAUCUUAUCACCCCACCCUCCGUCCCUCACAUGAACCCCCUCUGCCCUAUGUUCACAGAUGUCCCCCUGCCCUCAAUUCCCCCCUCACAGAAGUCCCCUUC